UUUAAUUAAAUCCUAAUUUAAUCCUAGUUGAAAUCCUAAUGGACUUCGAUCAAAUCCUAGACCAAAUCCUAAAUCCUAAAUAAAUCCAAAAUCCUAAAUUUUAACCAAAUCCUAAAUCCUAAAUUAUAAAAAAAUCCUAAAUCCUAAUCCAAAUCUAAAUCCUAACCAAAUCAUAAAUCUUAGUCCAACCUUAAAUUCUAAUCAAAUCCUACAUCUUAAUUCAACCCUACUCUAAACCAAACCUUAACCAAAACCUAAGGAACUCAACUUAAUCCUAGCACAAUUUAGAACCUCAAUAUUUAUUGAUUAAACUAUUGAUCUUACUUAAAAUUUUAUACUCUUUUCAACAACUAAGUUUGCAAUAUGCACACAAAAUUUUUAGAGAAUUCAACUUACUACAUAGAAGAAAAAUAUAAAAAUCCGCUUAGGUGUCAACUAGCCUCCUUCAAUCU
rnacentral:lncRNA from 1 species